AUCUGAUUUUAGUUUCACAACUUUAUUGAAGUCACUAUUAAAAUUUUGUGAAAUUUAUUUUUCCACAACUCAAUAUUUCCUUCAUUUUUUAUUUGCGCGUGCUCAAUAAUAUUUGUAAAUCAAAAAUAAUAUUUGUAAGCAAAUAGAAAAUGGCUGAUAUUAACUCGGGUAAAAAGAAAAAGAACCGUGGUGGUGCAGGCACAUCUGGUAAAGCCAAGAAGCGAAUUGUUGAGAAAAUCUUAGGCAGACGUAACGCCAAUGGACACACUGAACUCUUAUUGAAAUGGAAGGAUUUACCCGAAGAGGAGAGCACAUGGGAGCCCCAAAGCAUGUUGGGUCCUGAAAACAUUCACAUGUUAACGCAAUUUAAUUACCAAUACCAACGAAUCCCGCCUAAGGCUGCGAAUCAAAAUCCACAAGCGGCUAAAGCUAAAGCAAACAACAAAAAAAAAUCAAAGCAGCCACCGCUGCCGUCACCGCCGGCGCCGGCGCCACAAACAAAAAGUGUGACCAAAGAGCACACGCACACAGAAAGAGUGCAGGUCGUAAACAAGCAAAGUUCCGAUCACGACAGCGAGGAUAAUUCAUCCGAAAGUAGCAGCAACUCGGACAGCGACAGCAGCUCUGCUGGUGACGAGACAAGCAGCAGCGAUGAAGAACCCGAUGUAGUGGAAAAGAAGGCUGCAGCAAUGGCAAAAAGCAGACAACAAAGCAUUCCAAACAACAACAAGAUGAAGUGCAAAUCACCAGCACCAAAAGCAUCCAAUAUGACCAACAAUUUAAAUGCAAGCGCGAGGCAAGGCUUGACCAACUUUGGGCUGGCACAAGUGCGUGAUCUGCUCAGCAGCGACGACGAGGAUGAUGAUGAGACUACAGCGGUGCCAGCUGCAAAGGCUGAUCAGGCGCUUGAGGGCGUCAAGCAGCAGGCACUCAGUUGGCUGAAGAUGAAAACAGCUGCGAAAGAAACUAAGAUUGAACAAGGAGCAAUAGAUAUACCUUUGAGGCGACGCAAGACUGGACCUAGCGAUGAUCGAAGUGUAGUGCAGCAAGUGAGUAAUCGAAUAAAACGACGUUCGAGUCUGGAUAGAGGCGAUCAAAAGAAUCUUGAAGAUGAGGAACACAAACCGUUUGAUACGAAUGAACCCAACGAAGGUGAUGUGCCGGCCACUUUUAGUGAAUUUAGGCAUUGGGAGAGAUCAUUUGACGGCGUCCACGAAAUGUUAUGGCAUCGAGCUGGGCUUGCCACUGGAGAAGGUGCUGAAGACCUUCCGGAUCAAUGGUGAAACUUUUGUGGUGGCCAAAUGGCGAAAUCGUGUUACACCCGAUGCAGUGAAGCUGAAAGUUCUAAAUGCCCUAUAUCCACAUCUUGUUAUUGAAUAUUUCGAGAAUCUUGAGAUGCGCACGGUAGACUAGACUACAAAAUGUGGUAAGCUCGGCUCCAUCACAAAUGCCGGACAACUUAACAUAAAUCAACGAAACACAACUUCUACAAGUAAAUAAAUGAAGUACAACAAACUUAUUCUAAUCGAGAAGGAUAAACGGAUAACAAAUAAGAGUUUUUGGUUUUUUAUAUAUAUAACCAAUGAAUGAUUUAACCGCCCUUUGAUACACACAACACUUAUGUUUAUAAAAACUGUAUAUGAUAUUCAACACAAUCAAUACAAUUAACAGUUAAUAUUCACUAAAUAAAGUUCACGUUUACAUUGUGAAAGUUGUUACCCUCUAAUUUGGGUAAAACUAGCUACCUUGUAAAUUUCCUUCAACAAUA